ACCAUAUGAUGAUGGAACGAUAGCUUUUUAGACAUUGAUGCGCUGCCUGCACGGUUAGGUUUGGAUCUCUGUAUUUCCUGUUUGUUCUGGCUACAGUACUAUACAUUCAACGGCCCCCCGGAACACCUGAGGAUAAUAUAGAAUGCGAUAACUUGUUCUUUGCUCUGCAGUUGAUUGAUUAUAUUAGUCUUUCAUAAUAUAGUUAUAGAGCAACUCUGAGGUGCUGAUGGACAAUUUACUGUUGCAAGAUGGGCAAAUGGGCUAAACCUAUAGAAGAAUGAUAUAAUUCAAUGUGGAUAAAUGAAUCUGCCAGAGAGACCAGUUCAAGAAGAUUAAAGUAGAUUGUGAUAUAUUAUUCAAAACACUGCUGCC
rnacentral:sRNA from 2 species